UGUAUGUGUGUGUGUGUGUGUGUGUAUGUGUCUGUCAAUCUACACAUACACACACACACACACACACAAACACA